UAAAGCUCUUUUAGUCGGAAAGAAAGAGUCAUAGUAAAUAGCUAUGAUUUAUGACGGUACCGACAGAAAAAGCACCGGCUAACUACGUGCCAGCAGCCGCGGUAAUACGUAGGGUGCGAGCGUUAAUCGGAAUUACUGGGCGUAAAGGGUGCGCAGGCGGUGUUGUAAGUCAGAUGUGAAAGCCCCGGGCUUAACCUGGGAAUUGCGUUUGAAACUACAAGGCUAGAGUGCAGCAGAGGGGAGUGGAAUUCCAUGUGUAGCAGUGAAAUGCGUAGAGAUGUGGAAGAACACCGAUGGCGAAGGCAGCUCCCCUGGGUUGACACUGACGCUCAUGCACGAAAGCGUGGGGAGCAAACAGGAUUAGAUACCCUGGUAGUCCACGCCCUAAACUAUGUCAACUAGUUGUCGGAUCUAAUUAAGGAUUUGGUAACGUAGCUAACGCGUGAAGUUGACCGCCUGGGGAGUACCGUCGCAAGAUUAAAACUCAAAGGAAUUACCGGGACCCGCACAAGCGGUGGAUAUGUGGAUUAAUUCGAUGCAACGCGAAAAACUUACCUACCCUUGACAUGCUUGGAAUCUAAUGGAGACAUAAGAGUGCCCGAAAGGGA
rnacentral:rRNA from 1 species